AAUGAACGCUGGCGGCGCGCCUAAUACAUGCAAGUCGAGCGAGAAGACGUAGCAAUACGUUUGUAAAGCGGCGAACGGGUGAGGAAUACAUGGGUAACCUACCCUCGAGUGGGGAAUAACUAGCCGAAAGGUUAGCUAAUACCGCGUACGCUUCUUGGACUUCGGUUCAGGGAGGAAAGCGAUGCCGAGGGUAUCGCGCUCUUGGGAUGGGCUCAUGUCCUAUCAGCUUGUUGGGAGGUAACGGCUCACCAAGGCUUCGACGGGUAGCUGGUCUGAGAGGACGAUCAGCCACACUGGCACUGCGACACGGGCCAGACUCCUACGGGAGGCAGCAGCAAGGAUAUUGCGCAAUGGGCGAAAGCCUGACGCAGCGACGCCGCGUGGGGGAU
rnacentral:rRNA from 1 species